GAAGUAGAUUUUGGGUUGGGAUGUUACAUGAUGUCCCUAAACGCACCACUGACAUCCACACCUUUCAGCCGACAAUUACCUGGCUAUAAGAAACAGCUGCGCUUCACUACUGAGAGAAGGCAUUUGGCAGUCUUGGCAAUCUAAGGUGGCUGCAGCACUAGGCAGUUGAGCUCCACAUAUCUCUUAAGGAAAGCUACUCAGUUGCCCUUAGAGAGUGUGGAGGUGCGGCCGCUUGUUCAGAGGCUAGGCACGUGAGGUGGAAUCCCCUCCCCGAUGCAUGCGAGUGUACACACCGGGCAUAGGCAGAUUGCACCAUUUAGAGUUUAGUGUGAGUGAGGUUUGCUGUGAAAUCACACGGGUGAGUAAUUGGUGGCACCCUUGGGCACUCCUCCCUGUAGGUUGCCUCCUCAAGUGGCCGGUCUCCACCAUUUUGUCUAGUUGCCUCUUUUAACAUAUUGUGCUUGUUUUAGUGUAGCAUUGUGGUAGGGAGUAUGUCGUUUUAAUCAUUGUUCGGUAAUAAAGUGUUUUAAUUAUUUUACUCUCUUACCCCUGCUACCCUAGGUGCCUUUUUAAUCUUUUAGUUAUGUUUUAGUAGUUCCUCUAAAUAAACUUUUGAAUUAUAAACUUUCUUUGUCUCACCUCUGCCUUUAAAUAACGAGUCUGUGGGCUUUGGUAGCCAGUGCAAUCUUCUCAUUGGCUAGAGAAAUCUUUCCUGGGGUUGUAGCGCCCUCCCCCAGGUGGCGUUGUCACUACUUUAGUAACCGUCCCCGGUUAUCUCUCAUUUCCGCGACACCACAAUCUGGCGUUGUCGACAGGAUAUUUUCAGGCAGAGAUCUGUUGCAUGUUGUUUUGUUUUGUUUUUGCGGGGUUAAAUCUGUUCGGUUUGUUUGGUUAUUGUAGUGCAGCGGCAAGACAGCAGCAGUGGCAGCGUCGGGACGGACUUCUGGUUUUUAUAAAGUGAUAUUUAAAUACUCUGGUUUAUUAUGGAGGAAGAGCUCACACAGCUACGAGACUUGGUAGCUCAGCUGCAAGCAGAAAAUCGGCGGAUGCGGCAAGAGCGAGGAUCGGAGCAACCUGGCACCAGUGCUGCUGCUACAGGUUCAUCCACCAAUGGGCAUUCUGCUGUUUCAGCUCCCGCGACUGAGAGACUGAUUUAUAUUCCUCGGGAGAGGAAGUGCCCAUGGUUCAACGGUAAGACUGGUAUAGGUAUUGCCGAAUGGGUGGAAGAGGUGCAGGCCUGUUUGAGGGUACGACAUCUUUCACCAGCCGACCAAGCCCUUUUCAUCUAUGAUCAUCUAGAAGGCGAGCCCAGAGAAGAGAUUAAAUAUCGGCUUCCAGAGGAGAAAGACGAUCCCGAAAAGAUUUUGACUAUUUUACAGGAACUGUAUGGAUGUACUAAGUCAUAUGUUUCUCUGCAGGAAGAGUUCUUUUCAAGACGACAGCAGGAGGGAGAAACAUUGCAAGAGUUUUCGCAUGCUCUUAUGUGCCUCAUGGACAGAGUUGCGAAACAGUCCCCUCAUGUUCUGCUGAACAAAGAUGUGUUGCUUAGAGACCAAUUUGUUGAAAAUGUGCUUGAUUGUUUCUUACGCAGAGAAUUAAAACAGUAUGUCCGCAGCCACCCUACUGCCACCUUGAUGGAUGUUCGUCAUGAGGCUAUAUUAUGGGAGCGUGGAGGUAUGCCAGGGGGCGGGAGGGAUAGAAGUUACUCGGUUCCCCCAGCGCUAGGCUUUCAACACACUGUCCAGGAGGUCCCUUUUAGAGGUAGUCCGGCAGGUAUUGCACCCUAUGCAUCUGAAAUACGGGAGUUAAAAGAGAUUCUUAAAAGUCAGCAAGAGCAGUUGAAUCAGCUCGCAAAGAGUCUUGCUGCUUUGAAUAGUGCUUCGACACCAUAUCCUGCCUCACGUAAUAAGGCUGUCAUUUGCAGACGGUGCCAGAAGGUUGGGCAUUUUGCCAGAGAGUGCCCUGGUGAGCCCACAGUCAUGCCUGUGCAGUCAGCUGGUACAGCAACGCAAGUCAGUUUAAGUGAUGUUGGCUGUUCUUCCAUGCAGGAAAACUUCCACCCCCUGAACCAUUGAGCCGAGAUUCAGGUGGGGGCAUCCUAGGCUCAGAGUCUGUACUACCUGACCCGUUGCUGCAGGUUACUGGUAGGAAACCAGUAACUGGUAGGAAACCAGUAACCCCUGCUGUCAAAACCAUUACUUCGGUCUUUCCUGGGUACGCAUUGUCUGACCUUCGUAUGUUGCAGGAGACGGACCCCGUGAUCCGGGAGUUUCUGCAAUUUUGGAGGCUGAGGCGGGGCCCUGACGCUAAGGAGCGUGGUCGCACUUCAAGGCUGGCCCUCGGAUUGGUCAGGCAAUGGCGUCGGUUAGUGGAGCAGGGUGGUGUGUUAUAUCGGAAGGUCUGUCAUCCAAGGAGAGGAGAGACACUGCAGGUAUUGCUGCCCAAGUCCCUUCAGGGUCAAGUUUUGCAACAUGUGUGCCAGGAGCAUGGUCAUCAGGGUGUUCGGAGCACGGUAGAUGUGGUUUCUCAAUGGUGCUACUGGGUAGGGAUGUAUAGAGACGUCCAACGGUGGUGCCAGGAGUGUGAGCGAUGCCAGUCGGCUCAAGAUGCACCAACCCAACCGAAGCAAAUCCCUGUAGCUGAGUGGCGUAAGACGCGCCACGACCAGCAAGCUAAGGAUGCUCCCCUGCGAGAAGGUCAGCUGGUUUAUCUGAAGAAAGUUGGGCUCAGAGGUCGUGAUAAAAUUAAGGGUGCUUCGAGUUCAGUGGUGUAUAAAGUGCUUAAGGCCCCUGACCAAAAUGGGUCCGUGUAUACUACUACCCCUGUAGAAGAACCGAUGCAAGAUGGCGAGUGGUUUUUAUUGGUCUCGGAACCUACUCCAGCCCCAAGCAGUUGCCAACAAAGACCAGAGACUCCUAGCCCUCGUAGGUCAGAUGAGCUAGAACCCUCAACGUCCUCCGCGGGGUCGGCCUGCCCUGACCAGCUGCCAGUUAUGGCUGGUGUUCAUAACGAUAUAGCCCCUUUACGCAGGACUAAUCGUGGUAAUGCUGGGACGCACCCAAAUCCGCACCAUUUGCCCCAGGCAGCAGGAAGUAGAGCAAUAGAGGCCGUGAACUCACAGGCACCUGUGCCUACUACAGUUACCCUGUUUAGACCUUGGUAGUGAGUGUCAAUCGUCGGGACGACGAUUCAAAUCUCGGGGGUAGAUUGUAGUGAAGUAGAUUUUGGGUUGGGAUGUUACAUGAUGUCCCUAAACGCACCACUGACAUCCACACCUUUCAGCCGACAAUUACCUGGCUAUAAGAAACAGCUGCGCUUCACUACUGAGAGAAGGCAUUUGGCAGUCUUGGCAAUCUAAGGUGGCUGCAGCACUAGGCAGUUGAGCUCCACAUAUCUCUUAAGGAAAGCUACUCAGUUGCCCUUAGAGAGUGUGGAGGUGCGGCCGCUUGUUCAGAGGCUAGGCACGUGAGGUGGAAUCCCCUCCCCGAUGCAUGCGAGUGUACACACCGGGCAUAGGCAGAUUGCACCAUUUAGAGUUUAGUGUGAGUGAGGUUUGCUGUGAAAUCACACGGGUGAGUAAUUGGUGGCACCCUUGGGCACUCCUCCCUGUAGGUUGCCUCCUCAAGUGGCCGGUCUCCACCAUUUUGUCUAGUUGCCUCUUUUAACAUAUUGUGCUUGUUUUAGUGUGGCAUUGUGGUAGGGAGUAUGUCGUUUUAAUCAUUGUUCGGUAAUAAAGUGUUUUAAUUAUUUUACUCUCUUACCCCUGCUACCCUAGGUGCCUUUUUAAUCUUUUAGUUAUGUUUUAGUAGUUCCUCUAAAUAAACUUUUGAAUUAUAAA